CUUGGUACCCUCACUCGUGGUCUGCGCGGGCCAUCCCUGGACUAGGGGACGGUGAGUCUCAGGGGCCUGACCACUGGGCACAGACCCAAAGAAGUAACCAGGAAAGACGCUGCAGGCCAAGGUCACAGCGAGUGCAAAGGCCCCGAGACGGCCCGACCGAGUCUUGCAGGUUGGACCUUCCU
rnacentral:lncRNA from 1 species